rnacentral:rRNA from 1 species
UACGGAGGGUGCAAGCGUUGUUCGGAGUUACUGGGCGUAAAGGGUGUGUAGGCGGUUGUUUAAGUUUGGUGUGAAAUCUCCCGGCUCAACCGGGAGGGUGCGCCGAAUACUGAGUGACUAGAGUGCGGGAGAGGAAAGUGGAAUUCCUGGUGUAGCGGUGAAAUGCGUAGAUAUCAGGAGGAACACCGGUGGUGUAGACGGCUUUCUGGACCGUAACUGACGCUGAGACACGAAAGCGUGGGUAGCAAACAGG